rnacentral:rRNA from 1 species
CCCUUAGAUGUUCUGGGCCGCACGCGCGCUACACUGAUGCAUUCAACGAGUCUAAAACCUGCUCUGAUAGGGGUGGGUAAUCUUUUGAAUGUGCAUCGUGAUUGGGAUAGAUGAUUGCAAUUUUUCAUCUUCAACGAGGAAUGCCUAGUAAACGCAAGUCAUCAGCUCGCGUUGAUUACGUCCCUGCCCUUUGUACACACCGCCCGUCGCUGCCCGGAACUGAGCCGUUUCGAGAAGACUGAGGAUUGCUGACUUGAGGCCUUCACGGGCUUCUAGUCGGUGAAAAUCAAUUUAAUCGCAGCGGCUUGAACCGGGCAAAAGUCGUAACA